rnacentral:rRNA from 1 species
UUCGCAAUGCCCGAAAGGGUGACGAAGCGACGCCGCGUGAGCGAAGAAGGCCCUAGGGUUGUAAAGCUCUGUCGGGGGUUAUGAAAUGCAGGUUGGUUAAUACCCAACCUGUUUGACAAAGGCCCCAAAGGAAGCCACGGCUAACUCUGUGCCAGCAGCCGCGGUAAUACAGAGGUGGCAAGCGUUGUUCGGUAUUAUUGGGCGUAAAGAGCACGUAGGUGGUUUUGUAAGUCAGAUGUGAAAGCCUUCUGUUCAAAGGAAGAACGGCAUCUGAAACUGCAGAUCUUGAGUGUAGGAAGGGAGAGUGGAACUUCUGGUGGAGCGGUGAAAUGCGCAGAUAUCAGAAGGAACGUCGGCGGCGAAAGCGACUCUCUGGCCUAUUACUGACACUGAGUGUGCGAAAGUUAGGGGAGCAAACGGGAUUAGAUACCCCGGUAGUCCUAACUGUAAACGAUGGGCACUAAGUAGAGGGGUUUU